rnacentral:rRNA from 1 species
CCUACGGGUGGCUGCAGUGGGGAAUAUUGGACAAUGGGGGGAACCCUGAUCCAGCCAUGCCGCGUGUGUGAAGAAGGCCCUCGGGUUGUAAAGCACUUUCAGUGAGGAAGAACGCCUGGUGGUUAAUACCCAUCAGGAAAGACAUCACUCACAGAAGAAGCACCGGCUAACUCCGUGCCAGCAGCCGCGGUAAUACGGAGGGUGCGAGCGUUAGUCGGAAUUACUGGGCGUAAAGCGCGCGUAGGUGGCUUGAUAAGCCGGUUGUGAAAGCCCCGGGCUCAACCUGGGAACGGCAUCCGGAACUGUCAAGCUAGAGUGCAGGAGAGGAAGGUAGAAUUCCCGGUGUAGCGGUGAAAUGCGUAGAGAUCGGGAGGAAUACCAGUGGCGAAGGCGGCCUUCUGGACUGACACUGACACUGAGGUGCGAAAGCGUGGGUAGCAAACAGGAUUAGAUACCCCUGUAGUC